AAUAGUUCGUUAAAGCCAGUAGAUAUAUUUUGUGUAGGCAAAUCCGCACAGAAUGUCGAAGGUGAUAGUACCGCAAAGCUUCGGCUGCGUGGAUAGUAACCCUAAUCAGACUUCCAAGAAAACCCGCUAAAGAUAUUGUUGUACAACCCGUACCGUAAACCGACACAGGUAGAUGAGGAGAGAAUCCUAAGGCGCUCGAGUGAACCACUGUUAAGGAACUAGGCAAAUUCGUCAUGUAACUUCGGGAGAAAUGACGCCUCGCGCAAGCGAGGCCGCAGUGAAAAGGUCCAGGCGACUGUUUAACAAAAACACAUGGCUUUGCAAAAUCGAAAGAUGAAGUAUAAGGCCUGACACCUGCCCGGUGCUGGAAGGUUAAGAGGAGAUGUUAGAAGCAAUUCGACGCAUUGAAUUGAAGCCCCAGUAAACGGCGGCCGUAACGAUAACGGUCCUAAGGUAGCGAAAUUCCUUGUCGGGUAAGUUCCGACCUGCACGAAUGGUGUAACGAUCUGGACGCUGUCUCAACAGUGAGCUCGGUGAAAUUGUGGUAUCGGUGAAGACGCCGGUUACCCGCAACGGGACGGAAAGACCCCAUGCACCUUUACUAUAGCUUCGCAUUGACUUUGGAUAAUUGAUGUGUAGGAUAGGCGGGAGACUUUGAAGCUGAGGCGCUAGCUUUGGUGGAGUCAACCUUGAAAUACCGCCCUUUACUUAUCUGGAGUCUAACUCGGCCAAGUCGAGGACAUUGCGUGGUGGGUAGUUUGACUGGGGUGGUCGCCUCCAAAAGAGUAUCGGAGGCUUUCAAAGGUAUGCUCAGUACGCUUGGUAACCGUACGUAGAGUGCAAUAGCAUAAGCAUGCUUGACUGUGAGACCUACAAGUCGAGCAGGGUCGAAAGACGGAUAUAGUGAUCCGGUGGUACCGCAUGGAAGGGCCAUCGCUCAUAGGAUAAAAGGUACGCUGGGGAUAACAGGCUGAUCUCCCCCAAGAGCUCACAUCGACGGGGAGGUUUGGCACCUCGAUGUCGGCUCGUCACGUCCUGGGGCUGGAGAAGGUCCCAAGGGUUCGGCUGUUCGCCGAUUAAAGUGGCACGCGAGCUGGGUUCAGAACGUCGUGAGACAGUUCGGUCCCUAUCUGUUGUGGGCGUUAGAAGUUUGAAAGGGCCUGACUCUAGUACGAGAGGACCGAGUCGGACGAACCUCUAGUGCACCUGUUGUGGCGCCAGCUGCAGCGCAGGGUAGCUACGUUCGGUUAAGAUAAGCGCUGAAAGCAUAUAAGCGCGAAACUUGCCUUAAGAUGAGACUUCUUUAUAAGGAUCGUGGAAGACUACCACGUUGAUAGGCUAUAGGUGUAAAGGCAGUAAUGUCAAAGCCGAGUAGUACUAAUUGUCU
rnacentral:rRNA from 1 species